UACACCCUGCGGUGUUCGUAGAUGCGGAUCAAUGUAAAACCAACAAAUUAUCUAAGGGAAUCCAUCUCCGAUAGGCGGCGCACAUGCCUCCCGCAACUUGUUGCGGCCAGUGGACUUGUAAUGUUUUCGGGACUUAUCCCACCUGCCAUGCAGGUUUUUACUUUAUCCCGUAUACGGCAUAUGUGGGGUUUAU
rnacentral:other from 1 species